UCACCCCAUCGCUGUGCCCUGCCUUUCUCUGGUUCUUUCCCACUGUUCAAGCACUUUGACACUUUGUGGAUUACGCUUUCAGGUUCUUUCAUCAAUUUAACAUUAAAAGUCCUGUGAAAUAUUAAUGAAAUAAUGUUUUUAAAAAAGAAAAAUGUUCCUACAAUACUGCAACAUUUUAAUGCCUCAUUAAAAUCAUUAGCAAUGCUAAUACUAAGGAACUUACUUCAUCUU
rnacentral:lncRNA from 1 species